GUGAAUCAUCAAAUUUUUGAACGCAAAUUGCGCUCUCUGGUAUUCCGGAGAGUAUGCCUGUUUGAGGGUCAGUAUAUAUAAAAAUCGGUGUGGUUGGGGCCUUUCUUGGUGACGUACCGGAUUUGAGUCGUCUUGCCUUCGGUUAAGUGGCCUAAAAUUUUUCAUGUUUUUUUUCGUACGUAUUUAAAUGAUUUUAGGUACGUUUAAGAUAGUGAAUACUCGGUGUAGU
rnacentral:misc_RNA from 1 species